UGGCACAGUUGGUAGAGCAUGGUGUUUGCAAUGCCAGGGUUGUGGGUUCGAUUCCCAU
rnacentral:tRNA from 1 species